UUUUAGAGGUCCGAAUCCCCAGUCAUUACCUCUUGUUUUCCGACUUAGAACGGCAAGAACGUGCAUAGGUACCUAAACAAAAAGGUCUUCCCCCCCUCAGGAGGGGGCUUUUCAACUCAGGAUGAACGCUGGCGGCGUGCCUAAUACAUGCAAGUCGAGCGAACAGACGAGGAGCUUGCUCCUCUGACGUUAGCGGCGGACGGGUGAGUAACACGUGGAUAACCUACCUAUAAGACUGGGAUAACUUCGGGAAACCGGAGCUAAUACCGGAUAAUAUAUUGAACCGCAUGGUUCAAUAGUGAAAGACGGUUUUGCUGUCACUUAUAGAUGGAUCCGCGCCGCAUUAGCUAGUUGGUAAGGUAACGGCUUACCAAGGCAACGAUGCGUAGCCGACCUGAGAGGGUGAUCGGCCACACUGGAACUGAGACACGGUCCAGACUCCUACGGGAGGCAGCAGUAGGGAAUCUUCCGCAAUGGGCGAAAGCCUGACGGAGCAACGCCGCGUGAGUGAUGAAGGUCUUCGGAUCGUAAAACUCUGUUAUUAGGGAAGAACAAAUGUGUAAGUAACUAUGCACGUCUGACUGUAC
rnacentral:rRNA from 1 species